GCUACGGGUGGCAGCAGUGGGGAAUAUUGCACAAUGGGGGGAACCCUGAUGCAGCGACGCCGCGUGAGUGAAGAAGUAUUUCGGUAUGUAAAGCUCUAUCAGCAGGGAAGAAAAUGACGGUACCUGACUAAGAAGCACCGGCUAACUACGUGCCAGCAGCCGCGGUAAUACGUAGGGGGCAAGCGUUAUCCGGAUUUACUGGGUGUAAAGGGAGCGCAGACGGCUGUGCAAGUCUGGAGUGAAAGGCGGGGCUCCAACCCCCGGACUGCUCUGGAAACUGUAAAGCUGGAGUGCAGGAGAGGUAAGCGGAAUUCCUAGUGUAGCGGUGAAAUGCGUAGAUAUUAGGAGGAUCACCAGUGGCGAAGGCGGCUUACUGGACUGCAACUGACGUUGAGGCUCGAAAGCGUGGGGAGCAAACAGGAUUAGAUACCCGUGUAGUC
rnacentral:rRNA from 1 species